UCGGGAAUUUUGGGCAAUGGGGGAAACCCUGACCCAGCAACGCCGCGUGAAGGAUGAAGUAUUUCGGUAUGUAAACUUCGAAAGAAUAGGAAGAAUAAAUGACGGUACUAUUUAUAAGGUCCGGCUAACUACGUACCAGCAGCCGCGGUAAUACGUAGGGACCAAGCGUUGUUCGGAUUUACUGGGCGUAAAGGGCGCGUAGGCGGCAUGACAAGUCACUUGUGAAAUCUCUGGGCUUAACCCAGAACGGCCAAGUGAUACUGUCGCGCUAGAGUGCAGAAGGGGCAAUCGGAAUUCUUGGUGUAGCGGUGAAAUGCGUAGAUAUCAAGAGGAACACCUGAGGUGAAGACGGGUUGCUGGGCUGACACUGACGCUGAGGCGCGAAAGCCAGGGGAGCAAACGGGAUUAGAUACCCCAGUAGUCCCUGAGCGGGCUGGCAAGGCGCAU
rnacentral:rRNA from 1 species